UAACACGUUGGUACCUACCCCGAAGUGGGGAAUAACUGCCCGAAAGGGUGGCUAAUACCGCAUAAUACCGCAAGGUUAAAGCAGUAAUGCGCUUCGGGAGGGGCCUGCGUCCCAUUAGCUAGUUGGUAGUGUAAUAGACUACCAAGGCGACGAUGGGUAGCUGGAUCGAGAGGUUGACCAGCCACAUGGGACUGAGAUACGGCCCAG
rnacentral:rRNA from 1 species